UUGAUUUAUUUAAUCGUGUUACUCAGAAGAUACUGUAUAAAACAAGAGUUUGGGGGUCCUCUGGCGGGCCGCCGGAGCGGGCACCGCCGAGGCAACAUUAAGGUAUGUUCACAGGGGUUUGGGAGUUGUAAACUCGGUAAUGAUCCCUCCGCUGGUUCACCAACGGAGA
rnacentral:misc_RNA from 1 species